GGCGUGACUGUGCACCCUUCAUGCCAUGAGCGGAGGAAAAGGAGGAUGGUCACAUAGCUCUCUUCAGCUGGGAGACAAUUCGUUUUUCACUGCUUGGCUUGAAAUGCUGUACAGUGGUGCCGUGUUCCCUGCAUGGUAUCAGGGCCCUUCUGAUGGCUGAUAAUCCCUCUGCUUCAAGUGACUUCCACUGUCUCGGGACAUCUUCUUAAUCACACCAAUUGUGCUAGCCAAAAUCCAUCAGUGUGCUUCACGGAUUCAGGGCUGGAGAGGUACCUGUACAAGAUAAUGACGACGGCUGACAGAAUAUUGCAGCACAGCCGAAUUCUCAUGGACUUCGCAAACGGGUCUCUUGUCCAAUAUGCUUCAACCUCUAUGAUCGC